CUUCGGGGUUCGGCCGCGAGCCUCUCGACUCCUCGUCGUCAUCCCCUGCAGAGCGAAGACGCUUCCUGCCGCCGAGAGGAAGGAGAGUCUGACCCUCCACCACCUGCAGACAGAAGAACCUGUCUGGUCUGUGAGCCCGAGCUGCAUCCCAGUACUGAAGUGUUUCAGGUGUGGACGAGAGGGGCAUCAGGCCAGGGACUGCCCAAGGAAGAGGUCAGCUGAGCGGG